rnacentral:lncRNA from 1 species
CCUGCCCUGUGUGCUCACCUCGCUGUCCCCGCUGUCCCCACUAUCCCGUGCCCCAGGCGCUGCGGGUGAACAGCCUGGAGCAGCUGUGCAACAACCUCGCCAGCGAGCACCUGCAGCUCUUCUGCAGCCGAGUGCUGCUGGCCCAGGAGGAGGUAGGAGAGCUGAGCACAGACAGCACGGGGGCCAGGGCACUGCCCAGUGCAGAGGCCACCUUGGUGAAGGAAAAGUGAUGCAUGAGAGCUUGCCCGAGUCCCCCUUUCAUGGGAUGGCUGGGUUCUCCUGAACUGAGUUCACUCAUCUAUAAAAUGGGAAAGUGAGCCCUGCUUCAGCUCAGGGGGUCCCUGGGGACGUAGAUCGUAAAUGGCCAAAAGCUGUUUGUUCCCAGGAGGAGUGUCGGCGGGAGCUGCUGCCCUGGGUGCCCCUCCUUCAGCCUUUGAGGGAGUCCUGCCUGGACCUCCUAGUAGACCAUCCCCACAGCCUCCUGAGGAUCCUGGAUGCCCAGACCUGGCUGUCCCAGGUGAGGGCUGUGGCCCCAGUGUCAGGGACAAGGAGUAGGGGCCCUGGUUGGCCAGGCUGGAACCUUGUAGAGGUUAUGGGAUCCAGAGACCCUUAAGAAUUUGAAAAUGGGGGGGCUGGGGUUGUGGCUCAGUGGUAGAGCGCUCACCUAGCACAUGCGAAGCCCUUGGUUCGAUCCUCAGCACCACAUAAAAAUAAAUAAAUAAAGGUAUUGAGUCCAGCUACAACUGAAAAAUAAAUAUUAAAAAAAGAGUUUGAUAAUGAAUUUCUGUGCCAGGAAGUAUGCUAAGGAUAAAAGGUGAGCAAAGAGAGACCGUAGAGCCCAGAAAUGCUGAUUUAAAAGGAAAAGGCUGGGUGCAGUGGUGUACACCUGCAGUCCCAGCCCAGCAGGCUGAGGCAGGAGGGUUAAGGCCAGCCUGGGCAACUUAGAAAGAUCAUGUCUUUUUUUUUUUUUUUUUGUAGUUGUAAAUGGACAGAAUGCCUUUGUUUAUUUUUAUGUGGUGCUGGGAAUCGAACCCAGUGCUUCACACAUGCUAGGCAAGCGCUCUGCCACUGAGCUACAGCCCCAACCAAGAUCAUGUCUUUAAAAAGGAGGAUGGGGUUGAGGAUGUAGCUGAGUGGCAGAGCGCUUGCCUAGCUCAUGCAAAGCCCUGGGGUUCCAUCCCCAGCACGGCACGGGAAGGGGUAUAGAAAACCCUAAGCCAAAAAUGCAGAAGCUGAUAUAAAACCCACAUGCAUGAUCUGUGGGUGGAUUUGUGAGGCUCUAAGAACAUAUGUGGGUCCCAGGCCUUCUUUGGGAACUGAGGCCAGAAGGUAGAACAGGAAUAUCUAUAAAAGUUAAAUAUAUCAUGACCCUGAAUAUAAGCCAUGCCCGUUGUCCCAAUUAGAGGUCAGAAAUGAAAAAUAAUGGUAGAAUAAUCCAACACAUAAUUAUGAUCAUUCAUAUCACAUAUCAUAGAUGAUAGUCACCAUGAUAUCAAUGUAAUACUUAAGUGUUAAUAUAUAAUAGAUACUGAUAUGUAACAUAUUACCUUAAUAUGUAACUUUUUUUUUUUUGAUAUGAGGAAUUGAAUCCAAGGGUGCUUAACCACUGAGCCACAUUCCUAGCCUUUUUUUUAUAUUUUUUAUUUUGAGACAGGUUCUAAGUUGCUCAGGGCCUUGCCAAGUUGCUGAGGCUGGCUUUGAACCUAUAAUCCUCCUGCCUCAGCCUCCUGAGCCACUGGGAUUACAGGAGUGCACCACUGCCCCCACCUGUAACUUUCAUUUAUCGUUUGUUUUCUGGUUCUGGGGAUUGAACUGGGUCUCACACAUGCUAUGCAAGUGUUGUAUUGCUGAGCUAUAUCCCCAGGCCAACAUUCAUUUAUGAAACUCAAACAUAUUUGAAAUCCCUUACUAGAUAAGACAGUAUAUUAAUUUGUAAAGGAUUGCUUUUCCCCCUGCUCACGUUACUUUUUUUUUUUUGGUGAGUAGUGAGUACUGGGAAUUGAACCCAGGGCUUCACACAUGCUAGGCAAGCGCCCUGCUAUUGAGCUACACCUCCAGCCUUGUUUCCACUUUAUUUUGAGACAGAGUCUCAGUGAGUUGCUGAGGCCAGCCUCAGACUUGUGAUCCUCCCGCUCAGCCUCCUGAGUAGCUGGGAUUACAGGAGUGCAUCACCUUGCCUGGCCCACGAUGUCUUAUUAAAACUUGUCACUGGUGUCUUUGAGGCCGCAAGGCUACUUUUGGAGCACCUAGCAUGGCUUUCCAAGGCUUGAGACCCCCUCUAGUUCUAUGCUAUUUGAAACGCAGCACUGGGUGGGUCUGAGCCAUGGCUCUCCUGUGGGCAGCAGGAGUCAGACUCCCCUGAUUGAUUGCCAUGUGCUCAUUAGCUCCGUCAAGUAAGCUCUGCCUGGUUACAUGUGGAAAAUAAUGUUUGAAAUACUCAUUUAGAAGCUGUAAUUGUGGGAUCCUACAUCCGCAGUAAUUGCUGCAUCUGUCUUAAAGUCCCCUGGCCCUUGUUUCCUUUAAUUGACCCUUCAGGCAGCCUCCUCGAGCUGCCAAAUCUAGUACUGACACAAAUUUGAGGUCAGCUUCGACAACUUAGACCCUGUCUCAAAAUAAGAUUAAAAGGGCCGGGGUAUAGCUCAGUGGUGGCGCACCCCUGGGUUCAGUCCCCAGCACUGGAGAAGGGAAAAGAAAAAGAAAAGGGAGAGACACCUUUCGAGCGACUCAAUAGUCACUCUUCCUGUCUGAGGAGAGUUUGGGGGGACAAGACCUCCCUUAUAUUCAGGGCAUAUGGUCCUGGGGUCACUGGGAGGGAGUGCAGUCUCUGCAGGGGACAGUGUGUGCAAAGCCUGAGGAGGUGCCACUCAUCCCCUUAUCAGGCCACAGACCACACCUUCCUCCAGAAGUGCCACUAUCACCAUGGUGAUCACCCAAGCUACGCCAAGCCUCAGCUGCCCCUGCCCAUCUUCACAGUGCGGCACUACGCUGGGACAGUCACCUACCAGGUAUCUGGCCUAGGGACAGACUCCAGGGUGGAUCAAUGAGGUGACGUGACCUUGAUGUCCCCUCCUAAACUGAGUCACUUGACAGGUGAGAGGAUAUGGGUGAGAGGCACUUCUCAUGCUUAGCCCUGUGUCCCCACCUGGGCCAUCGGCUCCACUCAGUUCUGAGCAUGAUUUUUGGAUUCUGUGUGAACAUCUUGGGGCGACAGGGUCAAAGCCUUGGGACCUUCCAGAUGUAGAGGCAAAGCACAGGGCUGGGCCGCGGCCGAGAACCCAGGCACUUUGCCUGCCGGGCCUCCUUUUCCUCAUCGGUAAAGUGGGCAUGAAAGUCGGUCCUACAGCAUUGGCAUGAGUAUUAAAUGCAGUAGCACUGAGGGGCCUGCUAGGUGCUCAGUGAAUGGACUUCCCUGUCCUGCUCCGAGUUUCACAUCUA